rnacentral:piRNA from 1 species
UGAAACCAACAACAGGUGUCCUGCCUCUC